UGAAGCUAGCGCUGCUGCUGC
rnacentral:misc_RNA from 1 species